rnacentral:rRNA from 1 species
UACGAAGGGGGCUAGCGUUGCUCGGAAUCACUGGGCGUAAAGGGUGCGUAGGCGGCUCUUUAAGUCAGGGGUGAAAUCCCGGGGCUCAACCUCGGAAUUGCCUUUGAUACUGUCUGUCUUGAGUUCGGGAGAGGUUGGCGGAAUUCCUAGUGUAGAGGUGAAAUUCGUAGAUAUUAGGAAGAACACCAGUGGCGAAGGCGGCCAACUGGCCCGAUACUGACGCUCAUGUGCGAAAGCGUGGGGAGCAAACAGG